CUGUGUUAUUCUUUUUCUUUUCAGCACCUGCGACCUGGACCCACAUAAAGUGGAAAAUGAAUGGAGGACGAGGAAAUGCAGUCGUGUCUAAAUGAAAGACAACAGCGAUGCAGAUCCUCUGUGAAGGAGGAGGCCUGUGUGAUGGAGCCGUUCAUCCAACAGUGGUCGUUCUCCAUCAGACCCAGUAGAUCCAGAGAUGUGUGUGUUGAUGACAUCAGAGGAGACAUCAGCAGUGGACAUGUGAGGGGGAGCAGAGACCCCAGAC